GGAAUUUUUUUUGUGUGAAUUUCRGAAAUUUGUAAAUUGUGUAUGUUCAUUGUAUAUCGUAUAGUUAUAAAAAAAUUUYGAAUUUUUAUUUAAAAAUAAUCAUAAAUAAUAUUUGAUAAAAAYUGACUACACAAUAUACGAUGAACAGACRCAAUUCACAAAUUCCUAAAAUCUUCGUCAAAAUGAUCU
rnacentral:pre_miRNA from 1 species